AUUGAACGCUGGCGGCAUGCUUUACACAUGCAAGUCGAACGGUAACAGGCCUUCGGGUGCUGACGAGUGGCGAACGGGUGAGUAAUGCAUCGGAACGUACCCAGAGGUGGGGGAUAACGCAGCGAAAGCUGUGCUAAUACCGCAUGUGAUCUGAGGAUGAAAGCGGGGGACCGAGCAGCAAUGUUUGGCCUCGCGCCUUUGGAGCGGCCGAUGUCGGAUUAGCUAGUUGGUGGGGUAAAGGCCUACCAAGGCGACGAUCCGUAGCUGGUCUGAGAGGACGACCAGCCACACUGGGACUGAGACACGGCCCAGACUCCUACGGGAGGCAGCAGUGGGGAAUUUUGGACAAUGGGCGCAAGCCUGAUCCAGCAAUGCCGCGUGCGGGAAGAAGGCCUUCGGGUGGUAAACCGCUUUUGGCAGGAACGAAACGGUGUCCGCUAAUACCGGGCGCUAAUGACGGUACCUGCAGAAUAAGCACCGGCUAACUACGU
rnacentral:rRNA from 1 species